rnacentral:rRNA from 1 species
GACGAACGCUGGCGGCGUGCCUAAUACAUGCAAGUAGAACGCUGAAGCUUGGUGCUUGCACCGAGCGGAUGAGUUGCGAACGGGUGAGUAACGCGUAGGUAACCUGCCUGGUAGCGGGGGAUAACUAUUGGAAACGAUAGCUAAUACCGCAUAAGAGUAGAUGUUGCAUGACAUUUGCUUAAAAGGUGCAAUUGCAUCACUACCAGAUGGACCUGCGUUGUAUUAGCUAGUUGGUGAGGUAACGGCUCACCAAGGCAACGAUACAUAGCCGACCUGAGAGGGUGAUCGGCCACACUGGGACUGAGACACGGCACAGACUCCUACGGGAGGCAGCAGUAGGGAAUCUUCGGCAAUAGACGGAAGUCUGACCGAGCAACGCCGCGUGAGUGAAGAAGGUUGUCGGAUCGUAAAGCUCUGUUGUAAGAGAAGAACGAGUGUGAGAGUGGAAAGUUCACACUGUGACGGUAUCUUAUCAGAAAGGGACGGCUAACUACGUG